rnacentral:rRNA from 1 species
GGCUCAGGAUGAACGCUAGCGGCAGGCUUAACACAUGCAAGUCGAGGGGUAGAGGAAGCUUGCUUCCUUGAGACCGGCGCACGGGUGCGUAACGCGUAUGCAACCUACCUUUUACAGAGGGAUAGCCCAGAGAAAUUUGGAUUAAUACCUCAUGGUAUAUAUCAUUCGCAUGUUUGAUAUAUUAAAGUUCCAACGGUAAAAGAUGGGCAUGCGUCCUAUUAGCUAGAUGGUAAGGUAACGGCUUACCAUGGCAACGAUAGGUAGGGGUCCUGAGAGGGAGAUCCCCCACACUGGUACUGAGACACGGACCAGACUCCUACGGGAGGCAGCAGUGAGGAAUAUUGGACAAUGGGCGCAAGCCUGAUCCAGCCAUGCCGCGUGCAGGAAGAAGCAUCUAUGGUGUGUAAACUGCUUUUGUACGGGAAGAAACACUCCUUCGUGAAGGAGCUUGACGGUACCGUAAGAAUAAGGAUCGGCUAACUCCGUG